UACGGGGGGAGCAAGCGUUGUUCGGAUUUACUGGGCGUAAAGGGCGCGUAGGCGGCCACUGCAAGUCAGUUGUGAAAUCUCCGGGCUUAACCCGGAAAGGUCAACUGAUACUGCAGGGCUAGAGUGCAGAAGGGGCAACUGGAAUUCUCGGUGUAGCGGUGAAAUGCGUAGAUAUCGAGAGGAACACCUGCGGCGAAGGCGGGUCUCUGGGCCGUAACUGACACUGAGGAGCGAAAGCGUGGGGAGCGAACAGG
rnacentral:rRNA from 1 species